UACGAAGGGGGCGAGCGUUGCUCGGAAUUACUGGGCGUAAAGGGCGCGCAGGCGGCUCUGAAAGUCAGAUGUGAAAGCCCCGGGCUUAACCUGGGAAUUGCAUUUGAUACUCUGGAGCUUGAGUGUGGGAGAGGAGAGUGGAAUUCCCAGUGUAGAGGUGAAAUUCGUAGAUAUUGGGAAGAACACCGGUGGCGAAGGCGGCUCUCUGGACCACAACUGACGCUGAGGCGCGAAAGCGUGGGGAGCAAACAGG
rnacentral:rRNA from 1 species